rnacentral:misc_RNA from 1 species
GUGCCCGAUACACCACGUCAUUAUUUCCUGUCCUUUUCCUCCUCGUGGGUACGUACACACAGCGACAGGGCCCCGCAGCUUCCACCUCUUCCUCACACCUGGCGAGUCUUACGGCUUCUCUGGUCACCGCCCAAGGGCCAAAACGCGAACCAAAAAAGCGUGUCGCUGACAGCACUUCGCCAUGCAACUCUUCUCUUUUUCCAAACAGAAAAAGAAUGCUGCCUCACCCAAGAAGGCGACGAGGGGGCUCCCGGGCCCAAAUAACUCCCACAAGAAUGCCUUUUUCCAGGACGACGAGACGGCAGACACGCUUAACCUGCACCAUUCUCCCAGUUCCCACUCGCGAAAUCGACAAGGCUGCGCGAACAACCGCACCAGCACAGGGGAUCGUGCGUCCCCGUUAUCGCUUCCAAGUCUUCAGUCGCCGUCCACAAAUAGCAGAUCGCAUGUCGACAGCGUCAGCAGUAGCUCUCAGCAGCAACAGGCGCAGCAGCAAGCCUCGGAAUGCGAGAAAGCGAGCGAGGUUUCGAUGCCACGACUUCAACGCGCCAGUGGUGCCUUAACGGGCACUCCAAACGCGCGGACCAGUAGCAGCACCGGCUUUCCGGUGCAUGGCGCAACCGCUGCAUUGCCAGCUCGAAGGUCUGCUGCAACCGAUCCACCGGCAUCGAAGUCCGCGACGAUAAACAGCACACCAGCUACUCCACGGCAGGAUCUUACCUCCCCGAUACGGCAACCUCCUGUGGCGCGGCUGUUGCCCUCCAAAGUCUGCACAGUGCGGAAGCCUUCCGUCCACUUCGUGUCGCCGCUGCCUGAGGAUUGUGGCAAGAAACCACCAAUAGGGUUCCCCGACAGAAUGGCAGUCCCCUCGCCGCCGAGUGUGACCGCCACCAGUGCUCAAAAGGGGCAGCCGCCUGCUUUGCCGAAGUCGCGCCAUGUCGCCCCAGCAGUCGUUCCGCCCGCUCCGCAGCGUCUGCCGCCGAGAACUAUCUCCCUCCCCGUCUUCACCGCUAUGGAGUCAGUGCCGAAGCAGCCCGGCUCCUCCUUUCGUGCUCUCAAGCGCCACAAAAAUUCAUACGAAGGGGCCAACAACCUCCCUGGCGGACCCAUCUCCACGAGAACGAACGGCAACUUGAGCAACGGCACCGUGGCAGCCCCCAUCGAGGGCAACGCAGCCGCAGGCCUGGGCAGGAGCAACAAUAGCGCCAGCGGGGUGACGCUCACCCCCUUCUGCAAGGAGCGCCAAUCGAACGGCUCAUGCACCGGAAGCAGCGCUCACGACACGGAGCGCGAGCCGGUCGCCAGGUUCGCCGACGGCGUCGACGGCAGCCAGCGGAACCCACAGAGCAACAUCCCUGCCAUCGCCCACGUUGUCCCCAUCCCACCCCCGAUGAACGUGGACAAGUUGGGUUCCUUCCGCGGAACUGUCGGCAGCUUGCUGAAGAGCACGCGUCGCACGAGUAGUAUGUACAGCAAUCACAGUACACAGAGCUCGAUUGAGGUGGUGGUCUCCGAGAAUCCCACCUCGGUGCGUCGAUCGCAGUGCACGAACGUCCGCUUGUCGACGCCGCGCACCAUGGUCAAGGUCGUCAGUAGCUGCAGUCUCAGCUUAGAUGACGUGCCGCGUCCGCUGAAUCGCCACGCAUCAACUCUGUCGACGGAGCAGCAGGAAGCGCUGCGCCGCACGCCGUCCUUCCUCACCCGCGCACACACGCCGCCGCCGUCGAACUUGAGGGAUUUGGUGCAGGUGCGCAAAGGCCGCCGCCUGCUGCAGGUGCGCUGCAAUACGCCGGACGUGCACUCUGCCGCGCCCGGGGUGCGUUCGGCAAGCGAGCAGUCGCUGAGCAGCAGCCCCAUGGUAAUGCUCAGUGGACUGCCUCCGUCUGGCAGUGACGAUGGAAAGUCAACUGCUCAUUCCUUGGCGAGAAGCACCGAACACGCCUCGCCGUUGCUUGGACAUGGCAAGAAGGGUGAUGCGAGUGGGCAGCCUUUGAAGGACCCAGUGGCAACCUGUUCUGGUGCCGUGUCCCCGAACGGCCCCUCAGACUCGGGCUCCCAUUGCAGCUUCCGCAACGGCGGGCGCACGGCGGAGUGGAGGGCCAACGAUGCGAGGUUGCUGUCGGAGGCAGGCGCGUCGUCGGAGGCGCCUAGACCGUCCAGUUGCGAGACGAUCAAGCCCCGACCGCGGGCGCCGCACAUUCCCUCACCUCCACCUCUCCACCACCACCACACUUCAGAGCCGGGGCUGGCGGAAGUCUCGCCGCCGCCGCUGUCCUCCUCUCCGGAUCCGGUCGCUACAUCCACCGCAGUGAGCCAGGACCUGCACAAGAACACGUCCUCCAGCAUGUCCCUUCUCCUUGACGAGGCAGCCGAGUUCGACUUUUACGGGUCGUGCGUGCUGUCCACGCUGCAGUUCAACACAAAGCCGCCGCAGCGCAUCACCGCCACCCCCACGCCCGCCGACGAGAGCGGCAGUGCCGCUUCCGUCGACGAGGUGGUACAAGGCCAGCAGCGAUCUUCACAGCAAGAGCAGAAGCCACAGAAGCCGGAGAUGUCGCGCAACGGCACUGCCGGCAGCGCCGCCGUCAAGGCGAAGGGGCAAAACGAUGUCAGCAUCAGCGUAUCGGAAUGUGUGAGGCUGAGCGUCACGGAUUUGCUCGGCGCAGCGUCUGGGAAAACUGCUGCCAAGGCUACUGACACGAGAACAGACGAUGAGGCCACGUCCGCCGAGACACCCAACCAGAGCAAGUCGUCAGCGAAACACGUACGCACGGUGCGGCCGGCAAGCCGCCAGCGCGUAGUCAGCGCGUACGUCGAUGACGACGAGGACGAGGAUGAGGACGGUUUUUACCAGGUGUCCCGCACCAUCCUGAAGCCCGCCAGCGCAUCUGCGAAGCAGCAGGGCACAUCCUACCGAGGACCCUCGCUUGUGCCCCCGUCACCGAGAGAAAACGGGCACCACUACUUGGCCGCGAUCCCCGGCUCCGCAAAGCCCUCCCAGCCCUUAAGAGAGACCCCACCGACGCCGGCGGCAGCGAAGCCAGCAGCGGUCGCGGCGCCUUUGCGCGCACAGCUCGACCUCUCUUGGAACGACGACAGUGAUGAUGAUAACGAGGAGGAGUACGACAACCUGCUAGAGGGCUUCCACCCCGCCGGCUUCGACGCCCGUCGCGGGGCCCGCAGCAGCAACUCCAUAGUGUUCUACCUCGACAAGGAAGACAGUGUGAGCAGCACGGACGUUGUUGUGAGGGCAGCCAGCAUCCCGCGCGGCAGCUGGGCGAUUCCGUUCUCGCUCGCUGACACGAAAUUACUGCCGCUAGACCAGAAGCCGCAGUCCGAGUACUCGAUGCUGAAGCUCUCUACCACGGUGAAGACCGGCGGCGGUGGCGCGCGACCGCACAUUACCUUUGACCCUUACAUCGCAGAGAACACGCACCCGGCCGCCCAGCUCACGUCGUCCGAGCCGAGCAGCACCCUUCCCGACUCGCACGUGAAUAAGAGUCUCAGCUUGCACGGUAAUCUAGACCAGUACGACUUUGUCAUAGACUCCAGUUAUUCCUCGCUGCUGUUGAACGCGAACGUGCGAGGCUCAAGAACGGCGCUGAGCCGGAACUCGGCGUCCGGGGUGCAGAGUAAGGCCUCCACCCCCUCCGCCCCCGUUAGCAUCUUCCUUGGGACAACCCUUCGCUUCGCUCCGGAUAAGAGCAAGAUGCACCGGCCACUGGCAAACACGUUUGGGUACACAAACGCGCAGCGUCGUGCCCGCGCAGCCGCGAUGGCGGCAGGUGUGAGCGCGGAGGAGUGGGCACGGGCUGCCGGCAUCGACGAGGACGACGUGGACAGUGAGGACGGCGUCUACGGAGAGGUGUACACGGAUGAGAAUGGCGACGAGUGGUACUGGGAAGAGGUGGAGGACGAGGAGUGUGAGGAGGACGAAGACGAAGACGAGGGAAACGCCAGGGACUCGGCGUGCGCUCUCGAGAAGGGCGGCGCGGGAGUCCGUCGCAGUCCAGCACCCACCUCAUCCGUCAGCGGCGUCACCGCCACCGCGACACGCUAGCCCCUACUGACAUCAUGCCCCAGUAGUGGGGUUGGUGCGUGUUCUUGUUUUCUAUUAUUUUUUCUUCUGUGGCGUAUGCAUGACGUGCGGCGUCGUUGGCAAGACGCGAGGCCCGUGGCGUAUUUAUUUCUCUCGCUCUGCCAUGUGCCCCUCCACCUCAUUCCAGUUCCAAGACAGUUUUUUCCCCGCUCGUGCGUUUUCGUUUCCAUUGCAUUUUCGCCAUCCCUUUUUUCGCGCCUCCUCUUUUGUACUUCACCGAAUGUACGCGAGCUCUCCAG